GGCGCUAUGGCUUAGUUGGUUAAAGCGCCUGUCUCGUAAACAGGAGAUCCUGGGUCCAAAUCCCAGCAGUGCCU
rnacentral:tRNA from 1 species